ensembl:lincRNA
UUCGGAAGUGCGAGUGACAGGCGCCCCCAGCUUUCUGGCGAGGCCCAUAGGCGGCGUUAGUAACAAAGGCGGCACUGUGGCGGGCAUUUACUCCGCGCCUGGCCCGGCUCUCGGGUCCUGCGGAGCAGCAGCCCAGCCCUCGCGGUGACUAUGGGGCUCCCGGACCACCAUAGGUUCGCGGAGCGAGGCCUGAAGUUCACACAGGUUAACGUCCCUACAGGGCCGGGAGAAAGCUGGGGUAGUGGUGGGGACCCUGAGUCCGAGCUUCGGGUCGGUCUCCUGGGGUCACUGAUCUAGACUCUGAGGAGAACGUUUCCUAAUGUAGGCACGAGCUUUCUCUGCGAGGUCCAAGACUGAAAUGAAACCAGUGCGGCUCUUGGACGUAAUCCCUCGCCAUCUGCUCUCAGCCGCUUUCCAGAGCUCUCUCGUCCCCGUUCCGGCGAGUCCUCGCCGAGGUCCUGCAGGCCGCUCUCGCCAGCUUGAGUUCAGCUGGAGCGACACCGAGGCUGAGCUGGGUCUCGGGCAGCACAGGGAGUGAGAGUCGGGAUCUCCGUCUCCGACCCUAUGACAGAGCUUACAGGACCGCAAUACCCCUUGACAUGGUAAUACACUGAUACAAUAGGCAAAAAGAGACUCUCGACCGCAGCUUCCCCGCUCCAGGUGGCCCUAUUUGGGCGAGAGGAUCCCGACCUUAUUCCGGUGAUGGAGGAUUCAGGCAUCCAGAGAGGCAUCUGGGAUGGAGAUGCCAAGGCUGUCCAACAAUGCCUGACAGAUAUUUUCACCAGCGUUUACACAACCUGUGACAUCCCUGAGAAUGCUAUAUUUGGUCCCUGCAUUUUGAGCCAUACUUCCCUGUAUGACAGCAUAGCCUUCAUAGCUCUCAAGUCCACCGACAAGAGAACAGUACCUUAUGUCUUCCGGGUAGACACCUCAUCGGCAAAUGGCUCCUCGGAAGGUCUCAUGUGGCUGCGGCUGGUCCAGUCGGCCAGAGACAGAGAAGAACAGAACCUGGAAGCCUACAUCAAAAACGGACAGCUGUUCUACCGCUCUCUCCGCAGGAUUGCCAAAGACGAGGAGUUACUAGUUUGGUACGGGAAAGAACUGACUGAGUUACUCUUGCUCUGCCCCUCUAGAUCCCACAGCAAACUGAAUGGGUCGUCCCCUUAUACAUGCCUGGAAUGCAGCCAGCGUUUCCAGUUUGAGUUUCCUUAUGUGGCGCAUCUGCGUUUCCGCUGCCCCAAGAGACUUCACAGCGCUGAUCUGAGUCCCCAGGACGAGCAAGGCGGCGGCGUGGGCACGAAGGACCACGGGGGCGGCGGCGGUGGAAAAGAGCAGCAGCCGCAACAGGAGGCAUCCUUGGGUUCGGGCCCCAAAUUCUGCAAAGCCGGCCCCAUCCACCACUACCCGGCCCCCUCUCCCGAGAGCAGCAACCCACCCCCCAGCGCCAGCGGCGGCAGCGGCAGCAGCAGCAGCAGCAGCAGUAGCAGCAGCAGCGCAAAGCCAUCCACAGACUUCCACAACCUGGCCCGGGAGCUGGAGAACUCGAGGGGAGGCGGCAGCUGCUCCGCAGCCUCUGGGCUCAGCG